AUUGAACGCUGGCGGCAGGCUUAACACAUGCAAGUCGAACGAGUGGCGGACGGGUGAGUAAUGCUUGGGAAUCUGGCUUAUGGAGGGGGAUAACGACGGGAAACUGUCGCUAAUACCGCGUACCAUCGGAUGAGCCCAGGUGGGAUGAGUUAGUUGGUGGGGUAAUGGCCUACCAAGCCGACGAUCUCUAGCUGGUCUGAGGGGUGGACCAGCAACACUGGGACUGAGACCCGGCCCGGACGCCUAAGGGAGGCAGGAGUGGGGAAUAGUGCACAAUGGGGGAAAGCUGACGCAGCCAGGCGGCUUGAAUGAAGAAGGCCUUCGGGUUGUAAAGUUCUUUCGGUGACGAGGCGUUAAUCACAGAAGAAGCACCGGCUAACUCCGUGCCAGCAGCCGCGGUAAUAC
rnacentral:rRNA from 1 species